AAUAAGUUCAUUCUUCAGUUUUUGGAUACAAUGUUUGACUAUUUGUCUUAUUUAAAAAGUUUUACAAUUAAUAUUUUGUUAUUAUUAGAUGAUAAAUUAUUGAUAGUACUUUACAUGUGAUUUUUUUGAGUUUUUCUAUAAAUUUUUUAAAUAAGAUAAAUUAUUAAAUAUUGAACAUAGAAACC
rnacentral:pre_miRNA from 1 species